rnacentral:rRNA from 1 species
GUGGGGAAUUUUGGACAAUGGGGGCAACCCUGAUCCAGCCAUGCCGCGUGCGGGAAGAAGGCCUUCGGGUUGUAAACCGCUUUUAGUCGGGAAGAAAAGAUCACUCUGAAUACGGGUGGUUCUUGACGGUACCGGCGGAAUAAGCACCGGCUAACUACGUGCCAGCAGCCGCGGUAAUACGUAGGGUGCGAGCGUUAAUCGGAAUUACUGGGCGUAAAGCGUGCGCAGGCGGUUCGUUAAGUUCGAUGUGAAAGCCCCGGGCUCAACCUGGGAAUGGCAUUGAAAACUGGCGGGCUUGAGUCUGGCAGAGGGGGGUGGAAUUCCGCGUGUAGCAGUGAAAUGCGUAGAGAUGCGGAGGAACACCGAUGGCGAAGGCAGCCCCCUGGGCCAAGACUGACGCUCAGGCACGAAAGCGUGGGGAGCAAACAGGAUUAGAUACCCGAGUAGUCC